rnacentral:rRNA from 1 species
CCUACGGGUGGCAGCAGUGAGGAAUAUUGGUCAAUGGGCGUAAGCCUGAACCAGCCAAGCCGCGUGAGGGAUGAAGGUUCUAUGGAUCGUAAACCUCUUUUAUAAGGGAAUAAAGUGUGGGACGUGUCCUAUUUUGUAUGUACCUUAUGAAUAAUGAUCGGCUAACUCCGUGCCAGCAGCCGCGGUAAUACGGAGGAUCCGAGCGUUGUCCGGAUUUAUUGGGUUUAAAGGGUGCGUAGGCGGCCUUUUAAGUCAGCGGUGAAAGGCUGUGGCUCAAACCUAGGAUUGCCGAUGAAACUGCGGGGCUAGAGUAUGUGUGAGGCAGGCGGAAUGCGUGGUGUAGCAGUGAAAUGCGUAGAUAUCGCGCAGAAC